AUACGUAGGUGACAAGCGUUAUCCGGAUUUACUGGGCGUAAAGGGCGUGUAGGCGGUCUUGCAAGUCAGAAGUGAAAUUCCUGAGCUCAACUCGGGAGCUGCUUCUGAAACUGCAGGACUUGAGUGCUGGAGGGGAUAGCGGAAUUCCUAGUGGAGCGGUAAAAUGCGCAGAUAUUAGGAAGAACACCGGUGGCGAAGGCGGCUACCUGGACAGAAAUUGACACUGAGUCGCGAAAGCGUGGGGAGCAAACAGGAUGCGAUUCCCAGGUUGUCAUCGCCGUAAACGAUGAAUACUAGGUGUAGGGGGUAUCGACUCCCUCUGUGCUGCAGUUAACACAAUAAGUAUUCCGCCUGGGGAGUACGGCCGCAAGGUUGAAACUCAAAUGAAUUGACGGGG
rnacentral:rRNA from 1 species